rnacentral:lncRNA from 1 species
AUAGGUAUUAAUAGGAAUUCUACAGCUUUGAAAAUGAGUUGAAAUAUCCAUAUUAGUUUCCAGCUCCACUGGUGGAAUGAGGAAUAUGGUCAUGUCAAUAAACACACAUUGGGAUUUGUGGUGUCACCAUAUGUACAUGCAUCUGUCUUGGAGUUUUCUACAAAUUCAAUGGUGCAUUUCCCUGUUUUUGCCCCAAUAUCAUAUCCGUUUUACUACCAUGACCUUGUAAUACAUCUUAAUAUCUGGUAAGAUUUCUGGGACUAAACGUAUGAAGAUUUCUCUCCACACACCAAGCAAGCAAUCAGUUCUUCAGAUGACACCUGCUGUAUGUCCUCCAACUCAAUCCAGUUCUAACACUGUCUACCUGGAGAUAUCCUCAGACAGCACAGGGCAAGGGCUCAGUCUUACAAGACUGCCCCCUCCCUCCUAGCAGUCACAGGUCUGGGCCUCUGAAAAUUCUGACUAACUGGCUACAAGUUGGGCUUUCCACAAUCCCCACUUUGGGUUCAAUUAAAUUGCUACAGUGGCUCACAAAACUCAGGAAAAUUUAUCUACAUGUAUCAUUAUAAAGGGUAUCGCAAAAAAUACAGACGAAGCCAUGCAUAGAGUGAAGCACAUGAAAAGGGAUGUGGAACUUCCAUGCCCACCCCAGGCUCACCCUCCAAGAACCUCAGGUGUUCAGCUAUCUGGAAGCUUUUAGGAUCUUGUCCUCUUGGGCUUUCUAUAGCUAUGGACUUCGUUUGAUAGGCAUGAUUGACAACCAUGCAUAAAUGUGGCUGGACAAAAAGGAUAUGAAACAUUAACAGACCAGUGGGGAAACCCAACAAGGCCUGUCUGUUCAGGUUCUUCUUGACCUCUCUGUGCACCAUUCCUUCCUUGAAGGUAUGGAAACAGCCUCUUCUGAAAUGGGGAUCUUACAAGCAGACAAGUUAGGCCAGAGAAUUUCUUUACGGCCAGCUUCAAGACAAAGGCUAGGGAAGAUUCCCGCCUUGGGGAGAGAAAAGAGCAGGAAAAGGAGGCGGGAGAAGGUCAGAGAGACAGACUGUUUUCUGAGCCCUGCUUCUGAGGACUAAAGCACUCCAACAUUAUAAUAAAAGAUACUAACAAGGGCUAUGGGAGUUACCAGCCAGGAACUGUGGAUAACAACAUAUAUAUUUUACACCUAGCCAUUUGUGGACCAUUAUUUCUCCAUAGAAUUUUGAAUAGACUUUGUAGCUUAUUCUCUUUCUGUAUGCUGGAGCAACUUUAUGAACUAACAAUUGACCUUGAAGCUAUGCUAAAAGUCAUUUAGAAAACCAUCCUGGGCGCUGCAGCUCAUGCCUAUAAUUCCAGCACUUUGGGAGGCCAAGGUGGACAAUCACCCGAGGCCUGGAGUUCAAGACCAGCCUGGCCAACAUGGCAAAACUCCAUCUCUACUAAAAAUACAAAAAAUUAGCCAGGCCUGGUGGCAGGUGCCUGUAAUCCCAGGUACUAGGGAGGCUGAGGCAGGA